rnacentral:rRNA from 1 species
GACGAACCGAGCGAACGUUGUUCGGAAUCACUGGGCUUAAAGGGCGCGUAGGCGGGUGCUCAAGUCCGGGGUGAAAUCCCACAGCUCAACUGUGGAACUGCCUCGGAUACUGGGUGUCUCGAGUGUGGUAGGGGUAUGCGGAACUAUCGGUGGAGCGGUGAAAUGCGUUGAUAUCGAUAGGAACUCCGGUGGCGAAGGCGGCAUACUGGACCACUUCUGACGCUGAGGCGCGAAAGCCAGGGGAGCAAAC